rnacentral:rRNA from 1 species
CCUACGGGCGGCUGCAGUGGGGAAUAUUGGACAAUGGGGGCAACCCUGAUCCAGCCAUGCCGCGUGUGUGAAGAAGGCCCUCGGGUUGUAAAGCACUUUCAGUGAGGAAGAACGCCUGGUGGUUAAUACCCAUCAGGAAAGACAUCAUUCACAGAAGAAGCACCGGCUAACUCCGUGCCAGCAGCCGCGGUAAUACGGAGGGUGCGAGCGUUAAUCGGAAUUACUGGGCGUAAAGCGCGCGUAGGUGGCUUGAUAAGCCGGUUGUGAAAGCCCCGGGCUCAACCUGGGAACGGCAUCCGGAACUGUCAAGCUAGAGUGCAGGAGAGGAAGGUAGAAUUCGCGGUGUAGCGGUGAAAUGCGUAGAGAUCGGGAGGAAUACCGGUGGCGAAGGCGGCCUUCUGGACUGACACUGACACUGAGGUGCGAAAGCGUGGGUAGCAAACAGGAUUAGAUACCCCAGUAGUC